CGGACGGGUGAGUAACACGUGGAUAACCUACCUAUAAGACUGGGAUAACUUCGGGAAACCGGAGCUAAUACCGGAUAAUAUAUUGAACCGCAUAGUUCAAUAGUGAAAGACGGUUUUGCUAUCACUUAUAGAUGGAUCCGCGCCGCAUUAGCUAGUUGGUAAGGUAACGGCUUACCAAGGCAACGAUGCGUAGCCGACCUGAGAGGGUGAUCGGCCACACUGGAACUGAGACACGGUCCAG
rnacentral:rRNA from 1 species